rnacentral:lncRNA from 1 species
GGACCAAGGCCCUCAGUAGGCCUCGCCAGGGAGAGUGAGUUCUCCGUGGUCACGUGGCCCAUAUGGGGCAGAGGCAGGCUCUUCUGAGGCUUAUUCCAGUCCGAUACUCUUGACCCCUGAGCACAUGGCCUCUUUUGCUGAAAUGUCUCACCAUCUUUGAUUAUCAAGCUAUGCAUUCUAGGCUCACGUCUACAGCUCCUAGAGAGAGUCUUCUCGAGGCACAAUGUCUGACUUCACCAGCUCCCACCACGUCUUUGCCUGCCCUGGACUGAGAAUAUUCUCUCUUCCUCAUGACCUGUGGGUCAUUUGCUGGUCCUCUGGAAGGAAGAAGGCACUCAGUGAGUUGGAUUCUCUCUUCCACACCACAGGAGCCUUGUGGCCUGGAGUUGGCGCGGCCUCCUCUGGAGCUGGUGAUGAGCUUGUAAAAGGGGCUGGACUUGGCCAAGGCAAGUUCAGAGACUCGUUCAGGAAAGACCCUGAGACCCAAGCCAGGUAGAAAGUCAAGCAGGUGGGCAAUAUUAAAACUCUGUUUAGACAUGGGGCAACUGGUUUGGAACCAGAAUUGAGAGGCAUGGGGGCAGAGGAUCAGCGGGUGUCAGUCCUGAACAUGGUGCUGCCGUAUCAGGACUGGGCUCCUCAACCAUAGCUGGGAGAGAACUACCCUCCUCUGCCCGGCUCUGGGCCCAAGUACUUCGUACAGGAAUGUUCGAGGAGCUGUGGAAUAGAUCGUGCAGCAAAUGUUAGCUGGUGUUGCCAGUGCCUGCGUGGACUGUGGCUUUGAAGUAAUCCUUCUAUUUUGACUGAAAAAAAUUUCAUAUUAAUGUGACAUCUUAUAUUCAUGGUCUGGCUCUGCGUGGAGCUUUAAGACCUAAUUGAAUUGCGGUCUCAGAAGAAAUUGCCAUCAUGGCGCAUGAGCCCAAUUACAGGGUCUUGUGUGUGUGCACAUGCUUGUGUGUGCUUGUGAGUGCAUAUGCACACAAGCGCUUGUGUACACGUGUGCAUGUGUACAUGUAUAUGUCGUGUGUGUGCGUGCAUGGUGAGAUGUUGACUUGCUUCCACGUAUUUUCUGUUGACUCCUACUUUUCAACUAGUUGCCUCCAUUCUCAUGAUAACCAUUACCAUUUAUUUAAUUUACUUUUUGUGUUCUUGGUUUCUUCUUUCUCCUUUGCCUAGAAUUCUUAUCUCCCUCUUCAUUUAGUUAAUUCUUGCUCCCCCUUUAAGUUCGGGCCCCAACUCCCUCUGGAAGACUUCCAAGGGACAAGUUAGAUGCUGAGCCUUGGACUUCUGGAAUAUCCAGUGUGCCUCUCAGAACCUUGGUAAGAGCAGGGAUCGUGCAUCCGGAGUGUUGGGGCUGGAGUCCGCUGCAGAUGCACUGUGCACGUUUAUUGAAUAAGAGUGAGUGCUCAGUAGAUGCAACUCACCAUGACCAUAUUUCCAUCCAGAAAAAAGGCUGGACGCAAACACUGAGGUGGUAUUACAGAACGUGAGCUCUUUGAAGGUGCGACGCUGCUCUCCCGUGAGGCAAAGAGAAGCUGAGUUCUCUAAAUAAAUGUUGUUUUCACAUCAGACAA